rnacentral:rRNA from 1 species
GACGUAGGGCGCGAGCGUUGUCCGGAUUUAUUGGGCGUAAAGAGCUCGUAGGCGGCUUGUCGCGUCGACCGUGAAAACUUGGGGCUCAACCCCAAGCCUGCGGUCGAUACGGGCAGGCUCGAGUUCGGUAGGGGAGACUGGGAUUCCUGGUGUAGCGGUGAAAUGCGCAGAUAUCAGGAGGAACACCGGUGGCGAAGGCGGGUCUCUGGGCCGAUACUGACGCUGAGGAGCGAAAGCGUGGGGAGCGAACAGG